rnacentral:rRNA from 1 species
UGAGGAAUAUUGGUCAAUGGGCGAGAGCCUGAACCAGCCAAGUAGCGUGCAGGAUGACGGCCCUAUGGGUUGUAAACUGCUUUUAUAUGGGAAUAAAGUGAGGGACGUGUCCCUUAUUGCAUGUACCAUAUGAAUAAGGACCGGCUAAUUCCGUGCCAGCAGCCGCGGUAAUACGGAAGGUCCAGGCGUUAUCCGGAUUUAUUGGGUUUAAAGGGAGCGUAGGCUGUUUGUUAAGCGUGUUGUGAAAUGUAGGAGCUCAACUUCUAGAUUGCAGCGCGAACUGUCAGACUUGAGUGCGCACAACGUAGGCGGAAUUCAUGGUGUAGCGGUGAAAUGCUUAGAUAUCAUGAAGAACUCCGAUUGCGAAGGCAGCUUACGGGAGCGCAACUGACGCUGAAGCUCGAAGGUGCGGGUAUCGAACAGG